rnacentral:rRNA from 1 species
GACGAACGCUGUCGGCGUGCUUAACACAUGCAAGUCGAACGGAAAGGCCUGCUUUCCCUUGUGGAUUGCGGGUACUCGAGUGGCGAACGGGUGAGUAACACGUGAGUGAUCUGCCCCCAACUUGGGUAUAAGCCUGGGAAACUGGGUCUAAUUCCCGAUAGGACUGCAGGGUGGUGCCUGUGGUGGAAAACGAUUUUCUAGUGGUUGGGGAUGAGCUCGCGGCCUAUCAGCUUGUUGGUGGGGUAAUGGCCUACCAAGGCGGCGACGGGUAGCCGGCCUGAGAGGGUGGACGGCCACAUUGGGACUGAGAUACGGCCCAGACUCCUACGGGAGGCAGCAGUGGGGAAUAUUGCACAAUGGGCGGAAGCCUGAUGCAGCGACGCCGCGUGGGGGAUGACGGCCUUCGGGUGGUAAACUCCUUUCGACCGCGAGGAAGCCACCUGGUUGGAAGGGUGGUGACGGUAGUGGUAGAAGAAGCACCGGCUAACUACGUG